AACCGACACAGGUAGGCGAGGAGAGAAUCCUAAGGUGAUCGAGAGAACUCUCGUUAAGGAACUCGGCAAAAUGACCCCGUAACUUCGGGAGAAGGGGUGCUCUGGUAGGGUGUAUAGCCCGAGAGAGCCGCAGUGAAUAGGCCCAGGCGGCUGUUAGCAAAAACACAGGUCUCUGCGAAGCCGCAAGGCGAAGUAUAGGGGCUGACGCCUGCCCGGUGCUGGUAGGUUAAGAGGAGGGGCGAGCCUUUAGGAGUAAUCCGAAGCUGUGAACCGAAGCCCCAGUAAACGGCGGCCGUAACUAUAACGGUCCUAAG
rnacentral:rRNA from 1 species